CAGUCGCCACGGUAAUACGAAGGGUGCAAGCGUUACUCGGAAUUACUGGGCGUAAAGCGUGUGUAGGUGGUUGUUUAAGUCUGUCGUGAAAGCCCUGGGCUCAACCUGGGAAUUGCGAUGGAUACUGGGCGACUAGAGUGCGGUAGAGGAUAGUGGAAUUUCCGGUGUAGCAGUGAAAUGCGUAGAGAUCGGAAGGAACAUCUGUGGCGAAGGCGGCCAUCUGGGACAACACUGACGCUGAGGCACGAAAGCGUGGGGAGCAAACAGGAUUAGAUACCCCCGUAGUCCCUGUCUCUUAUAC
rnacentral:rRNA from 1 species